UAGGGAAUAUUCCGCAAUGGGCGAAAGCCUGACGGAGCAACGCCGCGUGAGUGAUGAAGGUCUUCGGAUCGUAAAACUCUGUUAUUAGGGAAGAACAAAUGUGUAAGUAACUAUGCACGUCUUGACGGUACCUAAUCAGAAAGCCACGGCUAACUACGUGCCAGCAGCCGCGGUAAUACGUAGGUGGCAAGCGUUAUCCGGAAUUAUUGGGCGUAAAGCGCGCGUAGGCGGUUUUUUAAGUCUGAUGUUAAAGCCCACGGCUCAACCGUGGAGGGUCAUUGGAAACUGGAAAACUUGAGUGCAGAAGAGGAAAGUUGAAUUCCAUGUGUAGCGGUGAAAUGCGCAGAGAUAUGGAGGAACACCAGUGGCGAAGGCGACUUUCUGGUCUGUAACUGACGCUGAUGUGCGAAAGCGUGGGGAUCAAACAGG
rnacentral:rRNA from 1 species